UCUAUGUAUAGCCUGUAGUAGUCUGUCCCCAGGGUCUGUUCCCAUUGGGUCCUCAGAAAACUUGGCUGGUUCCCACCAAGGAUCCCGGCAUUAGUGCUCAUGGUCAUGUUAUUCAGGAAUCCAUUUCAGGGUCCUGCCAUUUACCUGACUACCAACAUUCAGAAGAGUACACCAAGGCACGGAGCAAGACUACGUUACUUGCCCAGGGUCACACCUGGUAAAUGGUAGUUUGAUUCAAAGUCGUGCUCUCGAUCACUGUGCCACUCUGCAUCCUCUCUACGGCCACAAGCCUACAAAGGACUUGAAAAUAUCAUGUUUGCAAAAUGCAGUACAUGUCAUCUUAGUGUUCGGGUGUGGCCAAGGCCGUGUCUCAUGUUUGCCAAGCCCAUUCCUUUUUCUUCCUGGGCACAAAGACUACAUAUCCCAGUCUUACAGUAGGGCUAACGGCUAUAUAACUGAAUGCUGACCAAUGGAAUAGUAAUGGAAAGUUAAAAAAAAAAAAAAAAAAAAA